GUGCUCACUUCAGCAGCACAUAUAUUAAAAUUGGAGUGAUACACAGAAGAUUAGCAUGGCCCCUGCACAAGGAGACACACAAAUUCAUGAGGUCUUCCAUUUUUUU
rnacentral:snRNA from 1 species